GUCUAAUUGAUGUGGUGGCUCUAAUCUUGAUCAGAGGCUUCUUCUCCCUUGAGGAAUAAUGAAUUAGGGUUGAGAGGCUCUCUCCUCCCGGGGCCAGGGGGUCUGGUUUUAUAGUCCCUUCAAGUGAAUAUGGGCCGUUGGAUCAAACCAACAUUGAUUGAACGGUUAUCCUUGAUCCUUUAGGUCGGUGGAGAUUGAUCCUGAAAGGGAGUCCUGUUUGGACUCCAGAGGUGGGCGGGUGCCCAGUGCCUGGCCCCGUUCGGCCUCUGCUUCCUUCCCGUGGCUUCUGUAGUCUUCCAGAUGUAAGAUAAUUGUGUGGCACGUUGAUAUCUCUAUGUAAUCCCGACGUGUGGGCCUUUCUUCCGUAUUUCCUGAUAACCCCCAACAGAAAUAGACAAACACUAAAACUCGUGGAAUUCUGUCAGAUAAAACCCUAAGUCUGGAUGUUGAUUUCAUUUGGAUCCUUUUCUUUGUUUAUUUAAUAAUUAAAUUUGAUACUUAAGGACCGUCAACAGAUAGUAAUUGCAUAAUGAAAUAGAAGUAGAUUAUCAGAGUCAUCCCAUGAGCAAGCUUGAUUAGAGCUUUAUCAUGGCGAAGUACAACCAGAGGAACAACCGACAGGCCGGCCUCUCCUCCAGUCCUCCCUCGCUCUCCAUCUCGCUACUAUCUAGAUCUACUCUAGUUUAGAGAAGAGAGGAGAGCUCUCAUCUCCAAACUCUAGCUUUUGCUCUGUCUAUGAAUAAUGAAUAGGAUGCCUCCUCUAAGGGCCUGGGGCCCUGCUUAUAUAGCCUCUCCAAAUGAAUGUGGGUCGUCGGAUCAAAUCGACCUUAAUCGCAUGGUUUUCCUUGAUCCUCAAAGGCGGUAGAGCAUAAUCCUCGAGGCGGAGCCUGAUUGGUUCCUGUAGCAGGGCGGGCGCCCUACCCCCGGGCCCGCUCGGCCUCUCGUUCGUGGCUUCUGGAGUCUUCUAGAUGAUAGAAAAUUGCCGCACAUGUUAAUAUCCCUAUGUAAACCCGACGUGUGGGCCUUUCCUCCAUAUUUCCUGAUAACCCCCUGCAGAAAUAGACAAACACCAAAACUCGUGGAAUUCUGUCAGAUAAAACCCUAAGUCUGGGUGUUGGUUGUAUUUGGAUCCUUUUCUUUGUUUAUUUGAUAAUUAAAUUUGGUACUUAAGGACCGUCAACAACUCCCCUAAGCUUACCUCUUGCUCGUCCCUGAGCAAGGAUGGACUCAAGAGUUUCUGCAGUGGUUUCAUGCUUUAAAGGUGCACAUGCAUUCAAACAAGAUCUCAUCUCUGGGUUAGAGCCAGCUGUUAAGACUUAAAACUUACUCAUUUUACCUUCCACCAUGGGGCUUGUAACCGUCAUUUGUGUCUUGGGUAGUUAAAGGAUAGAAUGGUCAAGUCAAGUGCCAUGUCUCUUGUUCUUGAUCAACUAUACCUCUAGAGUUUUUUUGCAGAUUUUCAAAUAAAACUUAGAGAUUCCUUGUAUGACUCUCUCUAGUCUCUCUUUUGUGGUAUUUCUGGAUCCUUACCAAGGCAGUGAUGGUAUAUGCCUUCUCUCAAAGUAUGUGGUAUUCUUGGUAUGAGGCAUAGUGAGAUUGCCUUCUCUCUCACCCUACUCUAAUAAGGUUUUGAUAUCUAGAGCUCAUAGGUGGGAGACAGCUAAUACACACUUACAAGACAUUUAUUGCAUAGUCAAACCAUGGAUCCAGAAGAACAAGUCAAUAAGUCAAAUCAUGAUGUGCAUGUGUGGGGAAUGAAUGGUGAUAAUGGUGAAAAUAAUGGUGAAAGUCUAAUUCUACUUUUGCUCUUUUGAGCGGGUACACACCUUCCUUGCACUUGAGGCUUUUGAUGGGAAUGAGAUGCCCUAUAUUUUAUUUUUCUUUUCUCUCAGGUGGGUAUCACGUACCGCUAAUUCUACUGUCGGAGACUUGUCCAUUUUUACCUCUCGUCUCACUUUUUCUUUUUUUCGAGGUUUCGGGCACUUGCCCCUUUUUAUUUCCUCGUAUUCACUUUUUUUCUCUUUUUUUUAGAGCACUCACCCUCCUGGAAUAAUGUAGCAAGUGGUAGUAACCAAAAUAUCUCGAGCAUUUAUUUCACAAGGAAAAAUAGGAAUGGGAUAAUGUUUUUGGCUAUUCUCUCCUGGAUAGGAGUAGAAUAAUUUUAGGUGAAUUUGGACAUGGAAUUGAGUGGAUGUAUGUGGAUGCGUACUUCUGGAAUAGAAGCAGCAUGUAUGAGUGAACAUGCAAGUGAAUCUUGAUUUUAACCGCAUGACGAGCUCCUAAGGGUCUACACAGCUUGACCACACUCAAUGCUCAUAAGCAGUAAAAAGUAAAUGUAUGGUUCAUAGUCUAAUAAGCAUGUAUACAUGGCUCUGGUAGGAUUUUAAACUCUCGCCAUACAGGAACUCAUCAUGCAACAUUUUAAAUAUUUUCAAAGAUAAAAUUCUCCAGAAUUCUAACAUCUCUAGAAAUAGAUAAAUAGCAGCUCAACCUUUCCACAUCGUAUCCGUUAUCGACUUAGACUUUAGAUCAAGUACUCUUCCCACAAGUUUAGGUUUAGAGCAAAUCUUAAUUCAUAAUAGUCAUGUCUAAACAUGAGAGAGAUUUUAAUUUUGAAAACUAGUCAUGGCAAAGCAACUAUUCAUCAUUUCUAUGCGAGAGCUUAUCAUGAGGGUUCAUAGCAAACUUUAUUUAUUUAUUUAUUUAGCAAACUAAGCAAAUAUAUAUAUAUAUAGGCACAAAAUCUUUAUUAAGGAUUUUAUGAUUAUGUAUCUUUUUAUUAUUUGAGUAAAGUAUAAACGCGAGUAGAAACACUUAGCUGGAUAAAUGGGGAUGCUCUUCCCCAAGUUGGAUUUUGACGUAAUUUUUUCUGAUAUAGCUAGCAGGUGGUGGAUGUGUAUUUGAAAGUCGGAAGCACCCUGACAGCGAUUAGGAUGUCCUCCGUCUGCUAGUCUUCUUUGAUCCUUGAAUUCUGUGGAGCUCAAAUAGACAACAAAGCUUUGUGAAACUAGUUAAGUGUUAGCAUAAAAUCUAGCCUUUAUCAUGUUGAGCCUCCUCAAUAAAUGUUACUCUCUUUGGUAGGAUAAUAAAUUUAUUUUUAUAUUUUCAUUUUUAUAGGACAGGAAUAUUUUUAUUUUUACGCCACCACAGUGAAUGUACUUAUGGGUUUUAUGCCACGAGCAUACUCACAUGGGGCUUACUAUUUUUAACAUUUUUAAUUUCUUUCAAAGAUAGAAUGAAUAACUAACAAGCUAUUUAAGGAAAGUAAAUAAUUUAAGGAAAAAGGGAAUGUAGAAAGGAUAAAUAUGGUAACUACCGAUUUUACCUUUCAGCGAGGGUUCAAUGUUUUAAGUCUUCUGCACAAGACUUGUCACCGUGUUUAUUCUUUAGGUGCGUCAUUUGAUUCAGGUGUGGACCUUGACGUCUGCACCACUUGAUACGGUGUCACCCAUGUUGUUCGUUUGCCCAGCAGUUCGAAGUGCGGCAUUGGCAGCAUCCUACUCAGUGUGUUUGUGCUCGUAGAUCCAAGCCCUUCACUUGGUGGAGUCUGGGAGUUGUAAAACUCCUCCAUGUUUUGCUCGAAGUGUACCUGCUUGAAGAGUGAUGGUACCGUAUCACCUUGUGGAAGCUUUCCUUUCUUAGCGGUUGUGCAUCGUGUUUAUGGCACCCUCCAUGGAUCAUCUCUUAUGAGCUAUAUCUUCCUUGUGUAAAUUGUUAAACUUCAUGUGUCUCUCUCUUUAUCUCCAUUGUGAGUUUAUCUCAGGACUUCUCAGGUCAAUAUUGAAAGUUUUCCUGUAGGGGUUAGUCCAACAAAAUAUCCAAUAUCUACUAUAGCAUUCUAUCGGC
rnacentral:lncRNA from 1 species